rnacentral:lncRNA from 1 species
UUGAAUCCAAUAGAAAAAAAUGGAAGUGUACCUGCAAGGGGAAACACUAAAGGGGGUGACCUACAUAGGUUCAAUGUGAGUUCAAAACGAUUAAUAGUAGAUUUCAGAAGAGAACACCAGAUAGCAGUUCAAAACAAAACAUACUUACGGUUGUAAGUAGGAACAGAUACCAAAAAGAAACCAACGCCCCAACACGCAAUC